CCUACGGGUGGCAGCAGUGGGGAAUAUUGCACAAUGGGGGAAACCCUGAUGCAGCGACGCCGCGUGAGUGAAGAAGUAAUUCGUUACGUAAAGCUCUAUCAUCAGGGAAGAAACACUGACCUUACGUUCAGCAGACGGUACCUGUGUAAGAAGCCCCGGCUAACUACGUGCCAGCAGCCGCGGUAAUACGGAGGAUGAUAGCGUUUUCCGGAUUUAUUGGGGUAAAAGGGUGCGCAGGGGGAAGAUCAAGUCAGCGGUAAAAUUGAGCGGCUAAACCUCGUCGAGCUGUUGAAACUGGUUUUCUUGAGUGAGUGAGAAGUAGGCGGAAUGCGUGGUGUAGCGGUGAAAUGCAUAGAUAUCAGGAAGAACUCCGAUUGCGAAGGCAGCAUGCCGGAGCUCAACUGACGCUCAUGCGCGAAAGUGUGGGGAUCGAACAGGAUUAGAUACCCGUGUAGUC
rnacentral:rRNA from 1 species